GACGAACGCUGGCGGCGUGCUUAACACAUGCAAGUCGAGCGGUAAGGCCCUUUCGGGGGUACACGAGCGGCGAACGGGUGGGUAACACGUGGGUGACCUGCCCUCAGCUCUGGGAUAAGCCUGGGAAACCGGGUCUAAUACUGGAUAUGACUCCAUGACGCAUGCUGUGGGGUGGAAAGCCUUGUGCGGCUGAGGAUGGGCCCGCGGCCUAUCAGCUUGUUGGUGGGGUGANGGCCUACCAAGGCGACGACGGGUAGCCGGCCUGAGAGGGCGACCGGCCACACUGGGACUGAGACACGGCCCAGACUCCUACGGGAGGCAGCAGUGGGGAAUCUUGCGCAAUGGGCGAAAGCCUGACGCAGCGACGCCGCGUGAGGGAUGACGGCCUCGG
rnacentral:rRNA from 1 species